UACGGGGGGGGCAAGCGUUGUUCGGAAUUACUGGGCGUAAAGGGUUCGUAGGUGGCCAACUAAGUCAGACGUGAAAUCCCUCAGCUUAACUGGGGAACUGCGUCUGAGACUGGAUGGCUUGAGUGCAGGAGAGGAACGCGGAAUUCCAGGUGUAGCGGUGAAAUGCGCAGAUAUCGGGAGGAACACCAAUGGCGAAGGCAGCUCGCUGGGACGUUACUGACGCUGAGACGCGAAAGCGUGGGGAGCAAACAGG
rnacentral:rRNA from 1 species